rnacentral:rRNA from 1 species
AUUGAACGCUAGCGGGAUGCCUUACACAUGCAAGUCGAACGGAGUGGCGAACGGGUGAGUAAUGUAUCGGAACGUGCCCAGUAGCGGGGGAUAACUACGCGAAAGCGUAGCUAAUACCGCAUACUAUUGGAGCGGCCGAUAUCGGAAUAGCUAUGUGGUGGGGUAACGGCUCACCAAGGCGACGAUCCGUAGCUGGUUUGAGAGGACGACCAGCCACACUGGGACUGAGACACGGCCCAGACUCCUAACGGAGGCAGCAGUGGGGAAUUUUUGACAAUGGGGGCAACCCUGGUCCAGCCAUCCCGCGUGUGCGAUGAAGGCCUUCGGGUUGUAAAGCACUUUCAGCGAGGAGGCGUUACUCGCAGAAGAAGCACCGGCUAACUCCGUGCCAGCAGCCGCGGUAAUAC